rnacentral:rRNA from 1 species
GCCUAGCCCUAAACAUUGAUGACACCCUACCCAGUUUAUCCGCCCGGGGACUACGAGCGUCAGCUUAAAACCCAAAGGACUUGGCGGUGCUUUAGAUCCACCUAGAGGAGCCUGUUCUAGAACCGAUAAUCCCCGUUCAACCUCACCUUUCCUUGCUCUUUCCGCCUAUAUACCACCGUCGUCAGCUUACUCUUUGAGGAACCAGCCGUAAGCGCAACUGGUACAACCUAAAACGCCAGGUCGAGGUGUAGCGAAUGGAAAGGGAAGAAAUGGGCUACAUUCAAUAACAAUAAUGCACACGAAUGAUGUUCUGAAAUAGACAUCUGAAGGAGGAUUUAGUAGUAAGUAGAGAGCAGAGUGCUCUACUGAAGCCGGCCCUGAAGCGCGU